rnacentral:rRNA from 1 species
AUUGAACGCUGGCGGAAUGCUUUACACAUGCAAGUCGAACGGCAGCACGGGGCAACCUGGUGGCGAGUGGCGAACGGGUGAGUAAUACAUCGGAACGUGCCCAGUCGUGGGGGAUAACGUAGCGAAAGCUACGCUAAUACCGCAUACGAUCUACGGAUGAAAGCGGGGGACUCGCAAGAGCCUCGCGCGAUUGGAGCGGCCGAUGGCAGAUUAGGUAGUUGGUGGGGUAAAGGCUCACCAAGCCUGCGAUCUGUAGCUGGUCUGAGAGGACGACCAGCCACACUGGAACUGAGACACGGUCCAGACUCCUACGGGAGGCAGCAGUGGGGAAUUUUGGACAAUGGGCGCAAGCCUGAUCCAGCCAUGCCGCGUGAGUGAAGAAGGCCU